AAUAACCUCAUUUUUCGUUUUUCCGUGUUCAACGUUUGAUCAUUCGUCUUAUUUGAAUUUUUUUGUGAUUAAUAUUUUUAUUAUUACUAGAUGAUAAAAUAUGAAUAGUACUUUAUAUGUGACUAAUUUUUUUAAUUUUUUGUACAAAUUUUUUAAAUAAGACGAAUGAUAAAGUGUUGGACACGGAAAAUAAAG
rfam:Oryza brachyantha chromosome 3, whole genome shotgun sequence.